AUAUUGGUUGUUCAGUGGUAGAAUUCUCACCUUCCAUGGGGGAGACCCAGGUUCAAAUCCUGGCCACUGUA
rnacentral:tRNA from 1 species